rnacentral:rRNA from 1 species
UGGGGAAUAUUGCACAAUGGAGGGAACUCUGAUGCAGCGACGCCGCGUGAACGAAGAAGGCUUUCGAGUCGUAAAGUUCUUUUAUAUGGGAAGAUAAUGACGGUACCAUAAGAAAAAGCCCCGGCUAACUACGUGCCAGCAGCCGCGGUAAUACGUAGGGGGCUAGCGUUGUCCGGAAUCACUGGGCGUAAAGGGUUCUCAGGCGGAAAUGCAAGUCAGGUGUAAAAGGCAGUAGCUUAACUACUGUAAGCAUUUGAAACUGCAUAUCUUGAGAAGAGUAGAGGUAAGUGGAAUUUUUAGUGUAGCGGUGAAAUGCGUAGAUAUUAAAAAGAAUACCGGUGGCGAAGGCGACUUACUGGGCUCAUUCUGACGCUGAGGAACGAAAGCGUGGGUAGCAAACAGG